rnacentral:tRNA from 1 species
CGUUCUGUGGCGUAAUUGAUUAACGCGCCCAGUCUAGCGUGUUGGGGGUCGUGGGUUCGAAGCUCACCAGAACGA